AUUGAACGCUGGCGGCAUGCCUUACACAUGCAAGUCGAACGGCAGCACGGGAGCAAUCCUGGUGGCGAGUGGCGAACGGGUGAGUAAUACAUCGGAACGUGCCCAGUAGUGGGGGAUAACCCGGCGAAAGCCGGACUAAUACCGCAUACGACCUACGGGUGAAAGCAGGGGAUCGCAAGACCUUGCGCUAUCGGAGCGGCCGAUGUCAGAUUAGCUAGUUGGUAGGGAAAAGCCUACCAAGGCAACGAUCUGUAGCUGGUCUGAGAGGACGACCAGCCACACUGGGACUGAGACACGGCCCAGACUCCUACGGGAGGCAGCAGUGGGGAAUUUUGGACAAUGGGCGCAAGCCUGAUCCAGCCAUGCCGCGUGCGGGAAGAAGGCCU
rnacentral:rRNA from 1 species